rnacentral:rRNA from 1 species
GACGAACGCUGGCGGCGUGCUUAACACAUGCAAGUCGAACGGAAAGGCCCUUCGGGGUACUCGAGUGGCGAACGGGUGAGUAACACGUGGGUGAUCUGCCCUGCACUUUGGGAUAAGCCUGGGAAACUGGGUCUAAUACCGAAUAUGAUCAUCGGCUUCAUGGUCGGUGGUGGAAAGCUUUUGCGGUGUGGGAUGGGCCCGCGGCCUAUCAGCUUGUUGGUGGGGUAAUGGCCUACCAAGGCGACGACGGGUAGCCGGCCUGAGAGGGUGACCGGCCACACUGGGACUGAGAUACGGCUCAGACUCCUACGGGAGGCAGCAGUGGGGAAUAUUGCACAAUGGGCGCAAGCCUGAUGCAGCGACGCCGCGUGAGGGAUGACGGCCUUCGGGUUGUAAACCUCUUUCAGCACAGACGAAGCGCAAGUGACGGUAUGUGCAGAAGAAGGACCGGCCAACUACGUG